UGACACGCGGUGCCAAGUGGUGUGGCCGGGAGCACAGGGGUGAGGACCCAGGUCUGUGUGGCAGUCCCAAAGGUGCCAAAAGGGGAUGGAUGCAGCUGGGGUGGUGCAGCUGGGGUCUCCCUGGCGUGGAGAGGAGGAGCAGGGGGUCACAUUUUGUGAGGAGGGGGCCCUUCUACCGCCUGGGGAUCUCCUCCCCUGGGGACCCAUGAAGACUCCAUCCGGGGGACUGAGGUCUUCCACGCUAAAGCGUGAGGACGGCGCUGUUAGUGCUCCUCCCUGUCCUGGGGCUGCCAUCUCUGCCCAGACCUAGGUCCGCCUACCCCCUCGGGACACCCAUGCCCCUCCCGGCUCCUUUCCGGGUUCCUCGGACCUGUGGGGCGUCGCUGACAG
rnacentral:lncRNA from 1 species